rnacentral:lncRNA from 1 species
CCCCUCCAAUUUCUCUAUCCCUUUUUUGCAGGUACCCACACUUCUCUCUUCCUCCUGAUUAGCCUGAUAUCUUAUCUUAUCUGAUGCACUCGUCUUCUCAUCUUUGUUUGUGCAUAAUCUUUUUUGUACAUGUGUACAAGUUGUAUGUCUACAAGUUGUUCGAUGAAAAUCCAAGCAAGCUUUUGAGUGAUGUUACUGUCUGUUCUUUGCAGAAUAGGGAUUGAGAAUUGGUCAAUAUGCUGAACGGAUACAUUCACUGGAAAGGAGGGGUUGCUGAUGUUGUGAGCUUGAUUGCCUUUGUGAGUUCCAACCAGAUUGUGCUUUGCAGGUAUUAUGCAAGAGUUGUUUUAUUUAUUAUGAGAAAGCUAAUAUUUUUUGCUGUGAAUUACAUAUAUAAGUGUUAUGUUGGUCAUUAGAUUGUUGCAGAGAUACUAUAUACAGGGUGUUGAUUUUUCAGUUUGCUUGCUUGUCGCUUAUAUGCACAAUUAUGCGUUGUUUUUAGUUUUUCUGCUUGCUUAGUUGGCUAAUAAGAACAUAAAUGUACAUGAUUUGUGCACUGCAUUAUAUCCUAUAGUAUUGUUGUUCAGUGAUAGUAAUCACAAUUUGCAAGAACAAAGAUAAAUGUUGGUCCCUUUUUUGCUAACAAUAGGGACUCACUGAUUACUAGCAAGAAACAGGAUCAAGUGCAGGCUUAAUUUUCUUUUACAAGUUAAGGAUGAGGCCUCAAAUUUUAUUCUUUUAAUUGUAGUAAUUGUUGAUCCCAAAAUGCUGCCCCGACACGAGCCACCGCCGUUCGUCCGGAGAAGCGCGGGAAGAAGAAGAUGGGUAAGCUCCUCUUGCUCUUCUAUUGCCUAGCUUGAUUUAGUUCCUCUCUUUUCCAAGUUAAUACGAUGUACUAGAGAUUACUGUAAGACGAAAGCACAAAUGACGAUAUUGUUAAACAUUUUGAAAGAAGGGUCUGUUGGUUUAAGAGAAAACUAGCGGUGUUGGCUGCUGGUUUUUGAACCCCUGGUUCUAUCCAAUAUCAAUGAUAAAUGAGCCUUUUCCAACAUAUUUCUGCAUUCACGUUCAUUUGCUUAUUAUGGAAUAUUGUUUUGUGACCUGCGCAUCAAAGCUUAUGAAGGCAACUUAAGAAUUGUAAUACUUACAGAUGUGUUGAGACCUUGAUGGGAUGGAGAGACGUUUCCUUUCAAAAAUUACCGCUAGAAAUAGUAGAGAGAAAGCUCAAGCACGGAAAUGAGCAGUUAAUUAUAUUUGCCAGGUUAGCAAACAUUUCCCUUUCUUUAGUUGCUAGCUUCAGUGUAUUGACAUAUUAUUAUAUGCAG